UGAGAUAGCGCCACUGCACUACAGCCUGGGCAACAGAGUGAGACUGUGUCUCCAAAAAAAAAAAAAAAACCUGUAAGAAACUGCCAAGCUGUUUUCCAAAGUGGCUGUAGUUUUUUUUGCAUUUCUACCAGCAAUGUAUGAGAGCUUCGUUGCUCUACAUCCUUGCCAACACUUGGUAUUUUGGUGGUUUUUAAGAUCUAGCCAUUCUAGUGGGUGUAAAGCACACAUCUCUGCCUCAUCUAUUCCUUACAGUAACUCUUUGGAGAUGGAAACUAUUUGUAGUGGAUUAAGGACAGCUACAAACUCCUUAAUUCCUUCCAUGAAGGGGUAGAAUACAGUUUCUCUCCCCUGAUUCUGGCUGGGCUGUGUAACUGCUUUGACCAAUAAACUACAACAGAAGUGACACUGUGUCAGUUUCCAUACUUAGGCCUCAAGACAUGUGGCAGCUUCCUUCCUGCCCACUGGACUGCUUGCUCUGGGGAGGUCAAACAGCCAUGCUACGAGGAAGCCCACGCCAGCCACGUGGAGAGCGUGCACGGGGCAAGUUACACCAACCAGCCCCAACCAGCCCCAACCAGCCCAGCCCAGGUACCAGACAAGUGAUGAAG
rnacentral:lncRNA from 1 species